ACAGUGUAUAAAUUAUAUUUUUUUAAUUAAUAAUAGGGGAGCGUAUUUACCAACAAUUUAUGUUAAUACAAAAUUAAUAACUCGAUUGUCAUAAAAAAUCGUAAUAUUUUAGUAAUAUAUUUCGUACAUUUUCUCGUUUUUUUUUUGGUUUUGCAUAUUUGAUGAAAAAAGUCCUGAGAAAAUCGAAAACCGACUCCUUUAAAGUACCUCUCCACGCAAAUUUUCUUCCAGAAAAGUUGUCACAUGUAAAAAUCCGA